ensembl:lncRNA
GGGGGGGGGAGGUAGGGAUCAUCUUUUCAUGCCUCAACAAUGGAGUUCUGCUGGCUGAGCUCAUAGCAGCAUCUGCAGUGGAAACAGUUAAUAUUUGUGUUUAAAAAAAAAAAACAACACAUGAACAUGAGACUAAGGUAGAACGUUUAAAAAUAACUGUUCUUGAUGUUGCUACAGAGACCUUUAUUAUAGCCAUAGUACGUGAUGUGCAUUGAUUACGUUCCACAUAAGUAGCAUUUUCUUGCUCAGACUAGUAGGAACUGACAGUACUCCCACUUGUAUGAGACAGUAUGAAGAAGCAUGCAGGCUGUGGCAGAAAGGAGGUGUGCUUGGCUUUUCAACUCUUAAAAACUAUUAAGAGAGCUAUCAUUUACAUGAAAACCAGAAGCCAGGGAAGCAGAUGCAGCACGAAGGAGCAUACGUGUGACAAAUCUCACUUGUGUCUGAAUUAAAGAGCAGUUCCUGGACUUAAAAUGCAAUGGCAGGCUGCAAAUAAAGGAAAUCUUCCAUUUGCCUUGGAUACUGGUAAUAUAAAAAGACUGAAUUUGUUACAUCUACAUUUAAAAUGACUUUUUUUUUUUUUUUCAUUUUAAAUCUUGGAUAAGCUAUCUCAGAGCUACAGUUCCUAAGAGGAGGAUCUUGUUUCAUGACAUAAUAAAAGCCAGGGUCUGGUGAGAUAGCAACAGAAUCCCUAAUUAAGAGACAGGAUACUCUAAGCUUGAACAUGAGCCUCUUGAAAACCAGACCAGACAGCUGUAGUGCUCUCUCGAUGGUAGAACCCUCAGGACAGUUGAAAGGAAGGGAUGUACCACAGCAAUCUGUCAUCAGUGCAACUUCCAGCAAUCUUUGUAGCUAACAGAUCACAGUGGAUUUUCUUUCUCCUCAUGAAUUUACCUAAUCACUUUCUAAAUCCUGUUUCAUGCAGUACUGUGAGAAUGAUAAUCUAAUUUUGGUCUCUAAGACAUGAAAUACAAAAACAAUAGGAGGCCCAGGAAAGAAUGAAGCCAUUUUGCCAACAGAUAUUACAAAAACAUGCAACAAUUAUAGCACAUUGACGAAGAAAAUUACUAAAACCGCUAAUUACAAAAUAACCCAGCAUUUCCUGCUGUGAAAAUGAAUUUGUUAUUUAGACCACUUCACUGUUUUUGAUAAAUCACCACCUGUAAUUGCUUUUCUAAGCUCGUGAUAGGGGUAUUUCUCUAUUUGGUGCCAUGAUGUCAAAUUGAAAGAGUACCUUUUCGACUGGUCGCAUUGUCUAGGGUUAAAUAGAAAACCUUUCCAAACUCUUCUUCACUCCAAGAUUUUUGUAUCAGUCAUGGAUGAGAAGAAAAAAGACAAAUGUCACCACUCUUUGCCUAGCUGUGAGAAAUUCACUGCCUGUGAAGUUAUGCUACUUGUUCUCUGCUACAAUACUAACUUUCAUGUAUUUUGCAAUCCCUGUCUAUCUCUGUUGUAAUUUCUUGCAAAGUGUUGAAAAUGUAAAGCUCUACACUCACAAUUGCCCCACAAUCUGAUUUACAAACUAAAAGAAUAUACCUGGGCUUUUCUGAGUAUUUUUCUUGCUUACAUAUAGGUGAGAUAUUCCCUUUAACAAAUAAUCCUCAUAUUAAAAAAAAAACAAGAACCAACCACGCAUACCAGGUCUAACUUAUGCAUGUGCAGCAUCCUAUUUAAUAAUUUACAGCUGUGCAAAGAACAAGCAGGUGAGUGUAUUCCAUACAGCUGCACAAAGCUCUGCGUAACCAGAGCGGAAACGGAAUGACUGCACGCACCUUUCUAUUUAUCCAGACCUCUAGAAAACGCAAACAGCAAAUUCUAAAGUGAAGCCAAAGCCAUGCAUGCCUCGAGGCCCUUUCCAGAUGGUAUGAAGACGAGCCCUUUUCCCUCCCUUUUACAUGACGUGAUUUUGCUUCCUCUCGGAUCAUCUCAGCCCUACUUACCGUUACACAACGUUUUUUGCACCCACGUUAACGUUAUUUGCUGCUAAUUCUGAUAUUCUGUCGUCAUCAGUGAAAAUGCUGAAACCCUCCCAGUUCUUGUUCAUGACGUGUCUCCGAGAUUACACAGCCCUCGAUAAAAAUGUCCCUGGGAAAGGAUAAAAGCGAUUACUGAGCUCAGUGCUUCAGACCCUUAAGCUGCCACCAGGUGCAUCAAAUGUGCCAGUUUUUCUCUUCUGCUUGCUUAACAGAGGAAAAAGCUCAAAUGAACGUUUAUCUGAUGUUCCUCCUGACCCCAAACUAAAGCUGUUAUUGCCUCUCUGAAUAUAUUAUUCCAUUCCUGUAAAGCCAUUUAGUUGCAAAUUCAACAUUUUCUUAUUGCAUAUGCCCACAUUAGCCAUGGUAAAGGCCUGUAACAGGGCAGAUGCAGUUCUGUCCCAAUGACCUCUCUGGUAUUUCUAUAGAAAUGCUCUGUUAAACACCCAGGCAUUUCAACUUCCAGUCACAAGACCUAUAAAAAAUUCAUACACCGAAUCUCUGGUUUCAAACCACAGCUCUGCAUCAUUAAGAGCUUUUCAAUCCUCCCACCCCACAGACGUUAUGAAGAAGGGGGGAGGGCGGCUCUACCUUCCCAGUGCUUAACCCUCACAUCUUCUGCUCCUCCUGCCUGCAAUUUUAACCAGCUCUGGGUGGAGGCUGGCAAACACGUGUGAGCUGCAGAGCACACAACCAGGCUGAUAUCCCAUCACCCCCAACAGAGCUUAAGAACGUGUUCGCAUUUUGAGAUCUGCCCCAAACUUCUCAGCGGGAAGCAGCAAAGGGGCUUCUAAGGAACCCCGGCACCUCCGUGCAUCUCUUGCUCUUUCCAGAGGGCUUUCACUCAGAACCCACCAGCCGGCUCCUCGUCUCCGAACGCCGCCCCUCGCUGACAGCCCCGUCCCGUC